CCUACGGGGGGCAGCAGUGGGGAAUUUUGGACAAUGGGCGCAAGCCUGAUCCAGCCAUGCCGCGUGUCUGAAGAAGGCCUUCGGGUUGUAAAGGACUUUUGUCAGGGAAGAAAAGGACAGGGUUAAUACCCCUGUCUGAUGACGGUACCUGAAGAAUAAGCACCGGCUAACUACGUGCCAGCAGCCGCGGUAAUACGUAGGGUGCGAGCGUUAAUCGGAAUUACUGGGCGUAAAGCGAGCGCAGACGGUUACUUAAGCAGGAUGUGAAAUCCCCGGGCUCAACCUGGGAACUGCGUUCUGAACUGGGUGACUAGAGUGUGUCAGAGGGAGGUAGAAUUCCACGUGUAGCAGUGAAAUGCGUAGAGAUGUGGAGGAAUACCGAUGGCGAAGGCAGCCUCCUGGGAUAACACUGACGUUCAUGCUCGAAAGCGUGGGUAGCAAACAGGAUUAGAUACCCGGGUAGUC
rnacentral:rRNA from 1 species